rnacentral:lncRNA from 1 species
UAUUCUAUGAAAAAGAUCUAGCUAACGAGGGCAGACAUGUUGUGGUACCGGGGAAAAGAAAGAUUGUCGGCAUUGAAAAUACAACCAAGGAUGAAGUAAAUGGCUUUGCAGACAUGCCUCCACUCGGCCCAAAUGUCAACCUUCCUCUAUUUGAAGAGGGUGAUGAACCUGCUUAUGUGAGGCUCGACCAUAAUGAAGCCCUCAUCGUUGACAAUGAGUGACAAGACGUGAUAAUUCAGAAACUCUUAACAUUUUCUAUGUACUUGUUUCAUUAUAUGUACUAUGUUGAACUCUGGUUGUAUCUUUUUUUAAUAUUGCAUGCAUUGUCUAGAAGAUAUGUUUAACCUUUUUUAUUGCACUCUAUAUCAUGUACUAUUUAAUUGUA